rnacentral:rRNA from 1 species
UGCAGUCGAACGGAAACGAUACUAGCUUGCUAGUAGGCGUCGAGUGGCGGACGGGUGAGUAACGCGUAGGAAUCUGCCUGAUAGUGGGGGAUAGCCCGGAGAAAUUCGGAUUAAUACCGCAUAAUCUAUUCGUAGUAAAGGAGGCCUCUAUUUAUAUGCUUUCGCUAUCAGAUGAGCCUGCGUAAGAUUAGCUUGUUGGUGAGGUAAAAGCUCACCAAGGCGACGAUCUUUAGCUGGUCUGAGAGGAUGAUCAGCCACAUCGAGACUGAGACACGGCCCGAACUCCUACGGGAGGCAGCAGUGGGGAAUAUUGGACAAUGGGCGCAAGCCUGAUCCGGCAAUACCGCGUGUGUGAAGAAGGCCUGAGGGUUGUAAAGCACUUUCAAUUGUGAAGAAAAGCUAAAGGCUAAUACCCUUUAGCCUUGACGUUAACUUUAGAAGAAGCACCGGCUAACUCCGUGCCAGCAGCCGCGGUAAUACGGAGGGUGCAAGCGUUAAUCGGAAUUACUGGGCGUAAAGCGUGCGUAGGUGGUUUGUUAAGUCAGAUGUGAAAGCCCCGGGCUCAACCUGGGAACUGCAUUUGAAACUGGCAAACUUGAGUAUAGGAGAGGAAAGUGGAAUUUCUGGUGUAGCGGUGAAAUGCGUAGAUAUCAGAAGGAACAUCAAUGGCGAAGGCAGCUUUCUGGACUAAUACUGACACUGAGGUAC